rnacentral:lncRNA from 1 species
AGAAGACACUGUAGGCCCCUAUAACCUAUAAGACAAGAAGCAUCAAAAAUUUAAAGAGUAAGGCAGACAACAAAGUGAGAGAUGGGUGCUGAUUCCGUGGCAGGAAAGCACAUGGAUGCAACAGAACCCAAGCUUGACCUUGAGAGAGGAAGAGACCAGAUAGCUAAUAUCUGGCUGAAGAGGUACUCAACCUCUAAAAGAUACUGAUAUCUUACAGACUGUGGCAGAAAUAUGAAUCAGACCUUCUGUUGUAUAGCUGCCUUCAUGGACCUUACACACUCAUUAGGGGGAAGAAAAGCAAAGUGUGAUGAGUACAGGAAUGUAAAUAACAGAGGAGACAGCAGAGAAGCCAAGAAGUGAUUCUACAGCUCAAACCAGAGCUGCGUCACCCAGAGGUCAAAGUUCAGAUGUGAGUGAGAACACGGGAGUUGACAGGGAUGGUGAGAGAGCGGGUGAAGGCUAGAGAAGCUGAGUUAAACUUGGGGAGUUUAGGAGGAAGGCACAUUUGAAAAAAAAAAAAAAAAACAGGAAGGAGACUGGAGGGAGAAUUCUCCCUUUCGGGGAGAGAAGCAAGGGUCUGGAACGAGCUUGCACUGAUCCCACAGUUCGGCUGUGGAUUAGGUCUCUGAGUUUCUACCAUCUUACUGAAAACCAUCUUCCAGCCACUGCAGCCCUUGCUUGGACCUUGGGUGGGCAGAGUGAUGCUGUGUUCCCCGGAGAGCAGACCCUUGCAGCUUUGUUGAGGGACACUGCUGACAUUCAGAGGCUCCUUGAUUGCUCCAAGUCGGCAGAGUUGAGCAGAGCGUGAACGGAGAGCUGCCUGAAGCCCAAGGCGCCUCGCCAGAGCCUGUGGCGGGGGGAGGGCUUGCCGCUGGCAUCAGUGGGGGCCAGCUGGACCCCCACUCAGCCUCAGACUCAGGGUGGAACUAGGGGCUGUCGAUUUCAAGUUUCUAUUUUCAGGGAUUAAGAAGGUAGGUAUCUUAAGUCUCUUAUUUAGAUUUAGUGAAAACUUGGCUCUGACCGGCACUGGUUUCAGUCCUUGUCACCAGGCUUGAAAGUCCCUUGGACAGCAAGGAGAUCAAACCAGUCAAUCCUAAAGGAAAUCAAUCCUGAAUAUUCACUGGAAGGACUGAUGUUGAAGCUGAAACUCCAAUACUUUGGUCACGUGAUGUGAAGAGCCGACUCAUUGGAAAAGACCUUGAUGCUGGGAAAGAUUGAAGGCAGAAGAAGGGGAUGACAGAGGGUGAGGUGGUUGGAUGGCAUCAUCAACUCCAUGGACAUGAGUUUGAGCAAAUCUGCACUAUCCAGGAGUUGGUGAUGGAUAGGGAAGCCUGGCGUACUGCACUCCAUGGGGUCCACAAAGAGUCAGACACAACUUAGUGACUGAACUGAACUAAACCAAGCUCACAGGACACCUUGAGGGGGAUGGCUGCCCUCAGGAGACAAGGCCUCCCUCCUAAGUAUCCCAGGCAGCUUCCUCCACCACCCAGCCCCACCUGACCCUCUCUGAACCCAGGCAUGUGGUUUGGCCCAUCUCCUCACCUGGCUCUGCACACACAUGGGUCCCAGAGACUCUGGCUUCUGGGUUUCUUUGAAGACAAUGUGCCUACUUAGAGCAGAUCAUUUUAAAGGUACAUUGCCUUAGAGAAACAGUGAUUUGAGUUUCCUCUACUGUGAACCUAGCAAGGGCUACGCUCUCUGCUGGACGUGUUCCUAUGUCGUAGGCUCAUCCAAGUUUUGUGUUGCUUCUCAUCUGUGAUCAAUUCAACAAAUGUGCAAUAAAUGACUAUCACCUGCAAGGUGCCA